rnacentral:rRNA from 1 species
GGAUUAGAUACCCGGGUAGUCCACGCCGUAAACGAUGAUAACUGGCUGUCGGGGGCCUUAGGCUUUCGGUGGCGCAGCUAACGCAUUAAGUUAUCCGCCUGGGGAGUACGGUCGCAAGAUUAAAACUCAAAGAAAUUGACGGGGGCCUGCACAAGCGGUGGAGCAUGUGGUUUAAUUCGAAGCAACGCGCAGAACCUUACCAGCGUUUGACAUCCUCAUCGCGGACUUCAGAGAUGAUUUCCUUCAGUUCGGCUGGAUGAGUGACAGGUGCUGCAUGGCGUGUCGUCAGCUCGUGUCGUGAGAUGUUGGGUUAAGUCCCGCAACGAGCGCAACCCUCGUCUUUAGUUGCCAUCAUUUAGUUGGGCACUCUAAAGAAACCGCCGGUGAUAAGC